rnacentral:rRNA from 1 species
UACGGGGGGAGCAAGCGUUGUUCGGAUUUACUGGGCGUAAAGGGCGCGUAGGCGGCCACCGCAAGUCGACUGUGAAAUCUCCGGGCUUAACCCGGAAAGGUCAGCCGAUACUGCGGGGCUAGAGUGCAGAAGGGGCGACUGGAAUUCUCGGUGUAGCGGUGAAAUGCGUAGAUAUCGAGAGGAACACCUGCGGCGAAGGCGGGUUGCUGGGCUGACACUGACGCUGAUGUGCGAAAGCUAGGGGAGCGAACGGG